rnacentral:lncRNA from 1 species
GAUCAGUGACAUUUGUUCCUUUGUGAUUUUUUUUGUCAGAAUAAUCAUCAAUUACAUAUACAUAUACAUUCAUACAUCAGAUAUUUUCAUUAUACAUUGUUAUCGCAUUUUGAUUCCUUAUUUUUCUGAUUCUCUGCUAUGGUGACAUUAUUCCUCCCCAUGCAGAUUUGGUGUGUCUGUCCUCCUUUAAUUAUAGAGUGUCAGCCCCUUAAGCAAAAAGAAUUUAACCUUUCUUAUUCCCCACUGAGUUAUUUCCUCGUGGAUGGUUAUUAUUUCAGCUUCCUCC